AUCGAUACCAAAACAUCAAAAUACCGCCAUCUAGUGUUUUUUUUUACAACCUAAUACGCUAUUUAUUUUAUCAAAUAAAUGUCUAACUACUAUUUCUACUUCAACUAUUUUCCUACCCUCCGUAACUACCUAAGUCGAAAAUAAUGUUACUAGGUAACUAAAAAUAUUUCUGAGAUAUUACAACUCUCCUUCACAACCCCUAUUUGAAAAACACGGUCUCCAUUAUCCUUAUUCUAGGCUGUUUGUGUAAAUGUGCCUUACCUGUCUAACUGUCAAAUUUAUAAAAAACUAAACUGUCAAUGUCAAACUGACAUAACCUUGAUAACCUUACUCUUUUUUUUUUUUUUCGGCACCAAACAAAACAAAAACAUGCGUUGUGUUCUACAAUAUUGAUCGCAUGAAGAAAUCUAAAGAUUACCCGAUUAAACUAACGAACUCUUAAAUAAUGAAUGAAUCUAAUAGGACCAAACAUAAUAAUGCAAAACCAACAACACUCCUUGUUGAACUUGAACCCAUGAUAAACCACUGAUCAAACCAUCCACUGUGACAAAACAUUCACAAUGCCUCACUAUUUAUAGACCAAAGUUACUAUUCUUCAAUAAGAUAUGACAUACUGUUUGAAUGCUGAUGAUGAUGAUGAUGUUCUAUAUUUGACAACUAAACUCUGAGACUAUACAUAUA